AGCUCCAAUAGCGUAUAUUAAUGUUGUUGCAGUUAAAAAGCUCGUAGUUGGAUUCCUGGCACGGGGUAGCCGGUCCGCCUUGCAAAAGGUGCGCACUGAGCGGCCUCGGCCAUCCUUGGGAAGAGCGGUCCUGGCAUUCAGUUGUCGGGGCCGGGAUUCCCGACGUUUACUGUGAAAAAUCAGAGUGUUCAACGCAGGCUUACGCCUUGAAUACAUUAGCAUGGAAUAAUGAUAUAGGAUUUCGGUUCUAUUUUGUUGGUUUCUAGAGCUGAAAUAAUGAUUAAUAGGGACAAUUGGGGGCAUUCGUAUUAACGCGUCAGAGGUGAAAUUCUUGGAUUGCGUUACGACGAACUACUGCGAAAGCAUUUGCCAAGGAUGUUUUCA
rnacentral:rRNA from 1 species